rnacentral:rRNA from 1 species
AUUGAACGCUGGCGGCAGGCCUAACACAUGCAAGUCGAGCGGAGCGGCGGACGGGUGAGUCAUGCCUAGGAAUCUGCCUGGUCGUGGGGGAUAACGUCCGGAAACGGGCGCUAAUUCCGCAUCCUCUUAGCUGCGCCUAGGCCGGAUUAGCUAGUUGGUGGGGUAACGGCCAACCAAGGCCACGAUCCGUAACUGGUCAGAGAGGAUGAUCAGUCACACUGGAACUGAGACACGGUCCAGACUCCUACGGGAGGCAGCAGUGGGGAAUAUUGGACAAUGGGCGAAAGCCUGAUCCAGCCAUGACGCGUGUGUGAAGAAGGUCUUCGGAUUGUAAAGCACUUUAAGUUGGGAGGCGUUACCAACAGAAUAAGCACCGGCUAACUUCGUGCCAGCCGCCGCGGUAAUUC